rnacentral:rRNA from 1 species
UCAGCCUACGGGACGCAGCAGUGGGGGAUAUUGCACAAUGGGGGAAACCCUGAUGCAGCGACGCCGCGUGAGUGAAGAGGUAUUUCGGUACGUAAAGCUCUAUCAGCAGGGAAGAAUAAUGACGGGACCUGACUAAGAAGCCCCGGCUAACUACGUGCCAGCAGCCGCGGUAAUACGUAGGGGGCAAGCGUUAUCCGGAUUUACUGGGUGUAAAGGGAGCGUAGACGGCUGUGCAAGUCUGAAGUGAAAUGCCGGGGCGCAAC